AUUCCUACGGGAGGCAGCAGUGAGGAAUAUUGGUCAAUGGACGAGAGUCUGAACCAGCCAAGUAGCGUGAAGGAUGACUGCCCUAUGGGUUGUAAACUUCUUUUAUAUGGGAAUAAAAUGUUCCACGUGUGGGAUUUUGUAUGUACCAUAUGAAUAAGGAUCGGCUAACUCCGUGCCAGCAGCCGCGGUAAUACGGAGGAUCCGAGCGUUAUCCGGAUUUAUUGGGUUUAAGGGAGGGUAGGGUGAAUGGUAAGUUAGUUGGUGAAGGUUG
rnacentral:rRNA from 1 species